AUUGAACGCUGGCGGCAUGCUUUACACAUGCAAGUCGAACGGUAACAGGCCGCAAGGUGCUGACGAGUGGCGAACGGGUGAGUAAUGCAUCGGAACGUGCCCAGUCGUGGGGGAUAACUACUCGAAAGAGUAGCUAAUACCGCGUACGAUCUACGGAUGAAAGCGGGGGACCGUAAGGCCUCGCGCGAUUGGAGCGGCCGAUGUCAGAUUAGGUAGUUGGUGGGGUAAAGGCUCACCAAGCCAACGAUCUGUAGCUGGUCUGAGAGGACAACCAGCCACACUGGGACUGAGACACGGCCCAGACUCCUACGGGAGGCAGCAGUGGGGAAUUUUGGACAAUGGGCGCAAGCCUGAUCCAGCAAUGCCGCGUGCAGGAAGAAGGCCUUCGGGUUGUAAACUGCUUUUGUACGGAACGAAACGGCUCUGGUUAAUACCCGGGGCUAAUGACGGUACCGUAAGAAUAAGCACCGGCUAACCACGUG
rnacentral:rRNA from 1 species